GACUGAGGGGAUCAAAAAGGCAAAAUCAAAAUGCUGAGAUCUCAUUUAUUUUCACCAUCAGGGAACUUUUUGAUUAGCCUCCGUUUUUCUUCCCAGAUUUCAAAAAAUAAAAAUCCUUAAGUUCUGAGGAGGGACUCUGCAGCAGGAAGAGGAGUAAGAUCACAGGAUGAGAAGAAAAAAGGCUGCACAUGUUCUCUCCCCACGUCCUCCGCCCCCCUCCCCCCUUCCUCUCCCCCCCCCCCCCCCCCCCCGCGCUGCCCAUCACAGCCCCAACACGCACACACAUAGGGCGGGCUUGUACUAGCAGGUGACGCCUCCACCUCCCAUUCCUCAUCCCUCGCCAGAUACAGGUCUUCAGUGACCUUAGAAAUUUUCGUUUGAUCGGGAGUGUCGUUUUUCAGAGGAAAACCCGCCCCCGCCCCGCUGCCCUCGUCCACGCCGGGAGAGCGCUUCCCCCUGCGCUCGGACAGAACCGCCUCUCUGUGCCGCCCAGCACGUCCCAUGCGAGGGCGCCCGGGCCGGGCGGGACACGCCCUCCCGCGCGGGGAGCAGCUUUCCCAGGGGUCUUGGGAGAGGCUCUGGCCUUUCCUAACGAGGGCCGGGAGCCUCCCCUGUGGGCUCGUUCCUGGCAGGCGCUCCCCCUCCCGGCGGGGAACCCCGAUUUCCCCACCGCGGAGGGGAGGCACUCGCUUCUGCUCCCGGCACAGCCGCUCCGGCGGCCGGGGCCGGCGCAUGCGUGGAGAGGGCCGCGUCCGCUCUGGGCUCCCCGGCUCCCGGGCUCCCGCGGCCGGCGGGCGGCGCAUGCGUCAGCGGUGGGGCCGGGGGCAAGCCCGCGGAGGAUGGAGCUGCGUGGGUCAGGCUCUCCUCCCGUUGCCUGGCUUCACGUCGGGGACGCUGCACCGUUGGAAGAGAGCCACAGAAAGCUAAAGGCACAGGCUCCUUACAGGGCAUCUGCUUCAUGCCUCCAUUUUACAGAUGAGGAAAUGGAUCCAAAGAAGGGGUGGGAAGUGACCAAAGCUGCAUUUCUGAAUUCUGGCACCUGCGACCAGAUCCAGCUCUUGUUGGCAUGGUUUAGGUACUCCUUCAGUGAGCAUUUAUCAAGCUCCUGGAUGCGGUGUACUAAACGCAGGGUAGGUGCAAGAAAGAGCAAUCGAUUUAAGUGAAGAAGAAGGAACGGUGUUUAAGUACCUAAGGUGUCAGAUUGAAGGAGUCUAGGAUCAGAGAUCAUCAGAGUUGAAGAUCAUCUGGGACAACGCCCUCAUGUUAAUGAAGGAGCCUUGAAAAACUGUAAAAGGACCAGAACAACUUGUCAUGUUGCCACUUUGAUCAUGGGAUUUGGAUCAAAAAGAACAUGGGAUUUGGACUUUGCUCUGGGGCUUGGCCCUGGUCUCUGCCACCUGUCAGCUGUAUGACCUUGGGUAAGUGACUUGAUGCUCUGAGCCUUCGUUUCUUCAUCUGGGUAGUGGAAGGGUACAAGCUGGAGCCUGUGCUAAGAUUCAGUCAUGUCUGGCGAGCCAGUGGGAAACCCCACAGGAUCACGCAAUCUGCCUUUCUUGAAGAGCUGCAAGGAGCCAAGUCCAGUGAGCUCACCAAGUGGAGAAGUGUCCAUGUCGGAGAAAGGAGUAGUUUUGAGAACCCAUGGUAACAAUGGCUGAAUCUCUCCCCGGCCCUCCCCAUGCUGGAUCCAUGGGAUUCCUGGACAGAGCUGUCACUAAAAGCUAACGGGAUUACUUACUACAUACUCUAUAAGACACUGAGAUACAGGGUCACUGUGAUGAGCACCCCCAUAAAGGAGCAUAACAGGAGAGAGAAUCAUUUCCAUGGGCAGCUUUGCCAGAGAAGGACGGCAGAGCAGGGAAGGGGCCGUGCCUGGCACCUGGGCAUGGAUUUGUUGAUUGGGAGAUGGAGUUUCAAAGAAGUCAAGUAAUGUCUCCAUAAUAAUCUAGCCAAUAAGGGGUGCGACUGGACUCUCUUUCUUUGGAGACCAACAAAUGAAAGAAUGAGGGGGAAACCCAGCAAACACUGAAACCUGAAGUUCUCAUUGGAAGAGCUGGAGAGAAAGACAGGUCUUUGUGGCUGGACAUCCGGAAGAGCUCCAACUCUGAUGAAGGAGUAAGAAAUAUGCCUCCCCCUUGACAGGAAGAAUGUGUGAAAUGAAGGACCUCAGGUGCUACGCUGGUUUUUGACAGUCCCUCAGAAGAAAGCACUUCCUGCCUGUUCUAUUCAAUCCCAGUCCAGGUGAGUCACUACAUUUUCAGUCAGGCGAGUAUUUUAAGGCAUGAGAAAUGUAAGCUGGAACCAGCAGAGAAAGCUGAGGGAUGGAUCAUCACCAUUAGCUUUGAUGAUGACUUGUUGUCAUGGUGCCAGGAAGAUCAUUUCCACUGAGAGUCCCACUCCCCGCUGUUUUGCUGGCCUGUUUGACGUGGGAGACUGGUGGCCUCCCUGAUGCAGGCGUGGGGCAUGGCCACGGGCAUGGGCACAUAUGUGCACCUAGAGCGGACACCCCCCCAGCAGGCUCACGUUGGCUACCUGGGUCACGGUUAAAAGGCUGUGCUCUAGAUGAGCUGGUGGGGAGCCAGCAGGACCCCUCCCCCACCUCCUGUGACGUUUUGCGCCUGACGUUUUGGAGCAGAUUCCGCAAGGGCCUGAACCACCUCCACCUCUGCCCUCUGGUUCAGCAUUUGGCUCUGCAGAAUGCCACCCCCGGCAGCCUCUUCUGCUGGUAUCUACACUGCAAAGCUCUGUGCUAUCUCUUCUGAAUGGGACCAAGUGACUAGCUUUGAGCAGAAAUGCAGGUUGUGUCGUAGCCCUGUGGGGUGAACCACACGGUAGGAGCCAUCAGGAUGAGCUGUGCUCCUUGCUCAGACUUCCCACUGGGCUGCUUCCCUGUCUCCUGCCCUUACCUGGUCUCGAGAGACUGCAGUGACGAUGGGGUGGGGAUGGGGAAUAACCUUGCUCUAUAGUUUCUCCUGAAUCCCCUUAAUUAAGCUUUCACAUGGAUGCAAGAAACAAGCAAGCUCCAUCCCCGGGCCCAGUGGUCAUCUCCCCCCAGAUUCUGACUCAGAGGCGUGGGGCAGGCUUAUUUUUAUUAAGGGCCCAAGUAAUUGGAUUGCAGGUGGUCCCAGACCACACUUUGAGAAACACUGGGGCAGAAAUAAGUCAGCAAGUGUAUGAGAUACAUCUGGUGUGAGUGGUAAUUCAUCUAGUUUCUUAAGAUAGUAUUAUGGGCUAAAUUGUGACUCCCCACCCCCCGAAUUUGUACAUUGAAGUCCUGCCUCCCAGUACCUCAGAAUGUGACUGCAUUUGGAGAUAGGGCCUUUCAAGAGGUAAUUAAAUGAAAAAUAAGGUCACUGGGAUGGACCCUGAUCCAAUAUGAGUGGUGUCCUUACAAGGAGAGAUUAGGACACAGACACCCACAGAGGUAAGAGCAUGCGAGAACACAGUAAGAAGACAGCCAUAUGCAAACCAAGGAGAGAGGCCUCAGAAUUUGGGAGCUUGGGAAAGAUAAUACACUGCGUGUAUUCCAGCUACAUAAUAUCCUACAGCAUCUGCAACAGUAUCCUGCAAUCAAACACGCUAAUAUUUCUGUAGGGAAAUGUAUAUGUUGUAUAAAUAAAGACCAUAAGUAACCUAAUAUCGACUCAAGACAGGUUUUGGGGCCAAGUGAAUUUAUUUCAGGUCAAGUUUUGUUGUCAAACGAGUUAUAAAUCCAAUUUUUGGUAUUUGGAGCUUAGAGGGUUUUGAAAUUGUGGACCCAUAUUGUCCCUGUCCUACAGAUGAAGAAACUGAGGCACAGGGAGAUAAAACAACUUUCCACAUUCAUUAACUCAUGGGAGGUGGGGUUGGGCUCCCACCCACAUCUGCCUGGCUGUGCCCCUCAGUACUGCCCACCUCUCAGGGCAUGCCAUGUCUGCAGAAUAGUCACCAGGCUGGCAGCCUCGCUGUGAGGACAAGAUACAGUGUAGGUUGAGUUCUGUGAUGGGUGGAAUUGUGUUUCCUCCCCAAAGUCAUAUGUUGAGAUCCUAACUCUACUACCUCAGAAUUUAACCUUAUGUGGAAAUAGGGUCAUUGCAGAUAUAAUUAGUUAAAUUAAGAUGAAGCCAUUAAGGUGAGCCCUAAUUCAAUAUGACUGGUGUCCUUAUUAAAAAAAGAAAUUUGGACACAGAGGGGUACUCAGGGAGAAUGUCAUGUAAAUACAUAAUGCAGAGAUCAGGGAGAUGUUUCUCCAAGCCAAGGCGUGCCCAGGAUGGCCAGCAACAUGCCAGAAGCUAGGAGAGAAGGGUGGGACGUUCAUCUCACUGAGCCUUCAGAAGGAAGUUACACUGCCGAUACCUUGCUCUCAAACUUCUGGCCUCCAGAACGUGAGGCAGAUUGGUGUUCAGGGCCCCCAGUGUGUGGAACUUUGUCACAACCACCCUAGCAAACGAAUAUACAUUCUUCACACAGGUCCCAGAUUUCAAGUGGGAGACCAUUAAAGGGUAGCUAACCUAGUUACUACCUUUAUUAUGGAGGCUGCAGGAGAUAAAGCCCGUGAGUGAGAUGAGUUCUAAGGCCUCCUCCAAGUUUUGGGUCUAAUUUUCUAUGUUGACACCAUGAGGAUAGCCCAGCUCCCCUUGCCACUUGCCCCAAUGGUCCGGUUCUUACGGCAUUUCUUUGCUUUUUUAAAGGAUGGGCUCAUGUAAAGGUGGUCUUAAAAGCAAAACAAAACAAAGCAAAGAAUGUCUUUUACGCCAAUGUGGGUUACGUCUGUGUAUGUUAAAAAUGAAACCACGUGGGCCCUAAUUUCCCUUUGGAUGUUCCUACUUGCAUCAUGAACUCAGUCAGACGUGGGUUUUCUGAAUCCCUUACACUUGUGCCUUCAGAUCUGCCAAGUUUAACCCACAGUAUGUGUUUGGGCUACAAAUUCUGCAGGGGAAAGCAGAAAGCUAAGUUAGAGGUGGUUUUCUGUGAGUUAAGAGUGUAUCGCUGAAACCCUAUGUUGGCCUAGAAAUGUGUGUUCUUUGUGUGGCAAUGUGUCCCCUCAUUGCCAUUUUACUGAACAGAUAAAAGCUUCUUUAAGAAAGUAUAAAAGACUGAUGAAUGCUUUUUCCAUUCGUAGAACAAGGUGUGGUUGGCCCAGUGUAGAGAAGAAGGUAAAAAUGCUAAACUGUUUUCUUCAGGCUUUAGUGAUGGGAUCCCCCAUUGUUGAGCUGGUUUGGACCUUUAGACGGCUGCCUUGAAGAUGUCUUUUCAUCUUCAUGUCAUGUCAAUUUCAGGAAAUGAUCUGCUGUAGGUGGAGUGUGGCCCCCAACUCCCCAUCCGUGGAAAUAGGACCUUAAUGGCGUGAGCGUUCAAAGAAUGAGCUUCAGGUUUUCUUCUGACAUCCAUUUGCAGUUGUUUUGCAACUCCCUGUCAGCCCUCAGCCUCUGUCCAGCAGGCUGCUUCCAACGGCUUUCCUCAGCAAGCCGAGGGGCCUCCCUUGUCUCCCUCAGCCCUGACGCAGAGCCAGAGGUGUGUGAGCAUUGGCUUAAGGCUUUCCAUCUUUGCUCCUUGUUCCUGGUUCUCCUUCCACCAACUUUAGGAGAAGUAGGCCUUUUCCUAUCACAGAUGCAGCCCCAGUGGAAUUCUGUUAGGAUAUCAGUAUGGUUGCAGGGUGGGAGGUGACACUUCGGGGAUUUCAUGGUUGGCGACUCUAUCCAGUGUUAUCGGGAGAGAUUUAAUUAAGCCAGAGUAACUGCCUAAUAGAUAGAUGCUCCGGAAUAGAGACCACAUCUUGUUCAUUUGUGAAUCCUUAGGGCCUAGCUCCGAGCUUGGCACAUGGUAGGUGUUCAAUAAAAUUAUUUGUUGAAUGAAUGAAUCUUGAUUUUCUUUCUUUAUCAGAUAGGUGUCUGACACGUGUUAAGUCCAACAAUCAUGGCCACAAACAAGGUUAGAGAAUGCUUCUGUUACAUCAUAAUAGCUCUCAUGGGUCAUGUCCAACGAAAAGGUCCUGAGGCCAAGGGGCAGAGGACAGAGGCCUAGGUCUGGCUCCACCACUGUCCUUGAGACCCUAGGAUCUCAGCCUCCCUGUGCCUCAGUAUCCUCCACUGAGACACAGACAUUGUAAUAUCUGCUCUGCCUGCCUCACUGGAUGAUUAUGAGAACAUGACAAAAGAAUGGAUAUGAAAGUUUUCUGAAAAUUUCAAAGACCAUGCCAAGGAUAUUAUUUUUAUUAUCAUUUCUUUUAUUACAGAUAUUUGUACAGUUGUGUUGCUCAUAAUUAUUUUUGAUUUCUUCAGCUUCCUUUCUACAUGCUCGUGUUCAAGGAUCAAAGUCCGGAUUACCUCCUACCCCAGAUAAAGGGAUACCCAUCUUGGUAGUCCAGGCACUGCCAAGAGCCAGCUUGCUUGGAGCUCAAUUGUCUGCUUGGCCAGCAAACAUUCCUGCAUCACAGAUGGCAGGUGGCAAGUUAAGUCACUGAAGACUAGUUGACAUAGAGUUGCCCCCUGAUGCCAUUCCCGUGCCCGAAGCCACAGGAAACAGAAAUAGUAGGGACUUCUCCCCAAGGGACUGUGCUCCUUGACCUUACCACUAGCCCAUCAGAGAGCCCUCAGUCCCCAUUCUGUCUAGAAUAGGCCAGUGGGGAGGUGACUUGUGGGAAGCAGCCAGCCAGUGGCCCGCAGAGCCCAGGUGGGAAGCCUAGCCUCCAGACUUCAUUCCCCCUGCCUCUCGAUGGAUGGAUCGAGGCCCUAGUAGAAAGUGCUGUACCUCCUCUUGUUUCCUGUUGCUAAGGCAACUGGGUGAACAUAAAACAGAAACAGCCCACGUGGUCUUGCUGCCUCUACCCACACGGUCAUCUCAUCCAGAAAGCCACAGUCAGGCGGAUAGAUUUGGGCCAAGCAUGUGUUUGGGGGUGAGGAACCCCCGGAGGAGAAACACCGGAGCUGUGUGGCAGUCGAUAUUCUCUGAACACUCUUCCCGGGUAGACAAGAUGUUGAAGCCAGGAAGUGGUGGGGUGUAGAGAGUGAGGAGUUGAAAUGGCUGGAGUGUGCCAGUUGGCAGAAUGUGACAAGGGUUGAAAUUGUCCUAGGCCUGGGUUCUAGCUGCCUGUCCUUAGUUACAGAAUGAGAGAGCAGGGGGCAUGACCACUAACCCUCAUCUCUGAAAUCUGUGCCUCUAGCUUUCCUGCUUUCCCCCAAGAGAGGCCCUUCUGAGCUUUUAGACAAGGGUCUUUCUUAAGGAGCAAUGCAAUACUGUAGGGAUAAGGGCAAGGCCAUCUGAGAACCAGGCAGCUCUCAGCACGGGGCCACAGAGCUGGGGGACAGUCACAUGAGAGGAGUGCAGGGCAGACCAUCCCACAGAUAUCCACCCAAGGCCUCCCUCCAACUUCAAGUUUCAACUCAAUGAUGACCUUCUCCAAAAGCCUCUCAACUCCACCCAGACAGGCAAUAACACUGUCAUCCUCUCUAUUCUCCCAUAUUUUCAUCUGCAUCUCCCUGUGCACUCAGCACCUGUUUUGACCACGUACUCACCCUUUGAAUGACUUUUAUUGCACACAUACUAAUAUAUGCUCAGUGAAGGAAAAGUCAGAAAUGCAGAUGCCCACAAAGAAGAAAAUAAAAACCACUCUUAAACCUGCCACCUGGAGAUCAUCACUGCUGAUGUUUGGGGUGUUAGCACUAUUUAGGCUCAUGUCUUUUUUUUCUGCCUACAUUCAGCUCAUCAAAAGCCAAGUCCACACCUGGCCCCCUCUGUAGGCUCUCAGCUGCCGUGAUGCUUCCCAUUCAACAGUGGGUGAAUAAACAAAUGGAGGAGUGGACAGAAGGACAGAGAAAAGGUUCUCCUACCCAACAAAAGACCUAAAAAGGGAAGAGAAGGUCACAUGCAGCCCCCUCCCCUCCCCUCCACUCCCAUCAGAGCGGAAUCAAUGCCAGGAAGUGAGCGGUGCACAGAGAAUGGGCCGGACCUGCACAAUGAUCAUUAGUGGAAAGACAGAGAUCUCUGCUGUAUGACUUGGAAAUGUCGGCCGUGGCUUAAGGGAAAAGAGGAUUCAUGGAAAUCGCCAAGUCAAGGUCGCCACAUGUGUGCAGUAUUUUAGGCUCAGCAAGCAAUCUGGCAAAUUCAAAGCCUCUCGUAAAUGACUUCCAAGAAAUCUGCUUUUAGCCCCGCCAUUGACAGGGGAGCACAUCCCUAUGACUUGCCCCUCACUGGAUUGAAGAUGAUCAUUGAUUUAUCUGGAGCAGAAACAGCAGGAUUCCACAUCACCGCUUAGAAGGCAGCCGGGGCCAAAGCAGAGAAUUAACAAAUCUUUAUUAUUAAUUCCAAUACCACCACACCCCAUGGGUCCUGCAGCAAAUCACGGGCUCUCUUAAUAAGAGUUUCUCUGUGUUUAAGUGGAGCUAAUUUUUUUUUUUUUUUAUGGAGCAUGUCCUCAUUCUUAACUAUGAGGACAACCUCAAAAUAUUCAUUAAUCAUGCACAAGCCCAGAACAUGCUAGGUGCUGCAGGAGAUGCAAAAUAAGUAGAACAAUCCCUAUAUUUCCAUUCAUUCAAGCAUCAAACAUUGAUUGAGACCCUUUGAUGCGCCAAACACUAUGCACAGCACUGGGUUUUAUAGCACAUUGCAGUCAUUAUCCUGCUUUAAAAGUGAAGAGAUGAGCCUCAGGGAGCUUAUAGAACUUCCCCAAGUUGCCCACAGCCACACGGUCUGUAAGAGACUUGGGACUAGAAUAAAGGGAA